UACGGUCAUACCAUAUUGAAACACUGGUUCUCAUAGGAUCAACCUAAGUUAAGCAACGCCUAGACUGGUCAGUACCUAGAUAGGUGACUGCUUGGGAAGACCACGUGCUGUAA